UCUAGAGAAUUUGUUACUUAGGUAACAGAUAGAAAGUACGAUGAGAGAGUAAACUCUUAAAAAUCGAUUUAUUUUGCUUGGUUUAGCUGUCAAUUUUAAAAAUAUAUAAGUCUGAAGUAUCAGAUUGUUUAGAGGAUUAUUCAUUUAAACACUAUACUGCAUACUGCAGGCUGAAAACAAACAGUCUCAUAGCUCAGCUGGUUAGAG
rnacentral:misc_RNA from 1 species